UGGGGUACAGCUCAGUGGUAGAGUACACAUGCUUAGCAUGCAUGAGGUCCUAGGUUCAAUCCCUGGUAUCCCCA
rnacentral:tRNA from 1 species